AAUCAACGCUGGCGGCGUGCCUCAGACAUGCAAGUCGAACGAUUAAAGCUCUCUUCGGAGAGUGCAUAAAGUGGCGCACGGGUGAGUAACACGUAAGUAAUCUACCUUCGAGUGGGGAAUAACGUCCGGAACGGACGCUAAUACCGCAUAACGCAGCGGCAUCGCAAGAUGACAGUUGUUAAAGAUUUAUCGCUUGAAGAGGAGCUUGCGGCAGAUAGCUUGUUGGUAAGGUAACGGCUUACCAAGGCUACGAUCUGUAUCCGGUCUAAGAGGACGGUCGGACACACUGACACUGAAUAACGGGUCAGACUCCUAC
rnacentral:rRNA from 1 species